rnacentral:rRNA from 1 species
UACGUAGGGCGCAAGCGUUGUCCGGAAUCAUUGGGCGUAAAGAGCUCGUAGGCGGCCUGUUGCGUCCGCUGUGAAAUCCCGGGGCUUAACCCCGGGCGUGCAGUGGAUACGGGCUGGCUGGAGGCAGGCAGGGGAGAACGGAAUUCCGGUGUAGCGGUGAAAUGCGCAGAUAUCGGGAGGAACACCGGUGGCGAAGGCGGUUCCCUGGGCCUGUACUGACGCUGAGGAGCGAAAGCGUGGGGAGCGAACAGG